rnacentral:rRNA from 1 species
AUUGAACGCUGGCGGCAUGCCUUACACAUGCAAGUCGAACGGCAGCGGACCUUCGGGUGCCGGCGAGUGGCGAACGGGUGAGUAAUAUAUCGGAACGUACCUUUCAGUGGGGGAUAACGUAGCGAAAGUUACGCUAAUACCGCAUAUUCUGUGAGCAGGAAAGCAGGGGAUCGCAAGACCUUGCGCUGAUUGAGCGGCCGAUAUCAGAUUAGCUAGUUGGUGAGGUAAAGGCUCACCAAGGCGACGAUCUGUAGCGGGUCUGAGAGGAUGAUCCGCCACACUGGAACUGAGACACGGUCCAGACUCCUACGGGAGGCAGCAGUGGGGAAUUUUGGACAAUGGGCGGCAAGCCUGAUCCAGCCAUGCCGCGUGAGUGAAGAAAGGCCUCGG